AUAUAUAUAUAUAUACAUAUAUAUAUGUAUAUAUAUAUAUAGGUUAUGAGAGCUAAUGGUGUCAGUGAGGCCCAAAGGUGUCAGGUAAUGCUGAGUAAAUGCUAUGGAUAGACCAUACUUAAGCUCCAGAUUCGGUGAUUAUGUGAAUAAGGAGUUCAACGUAGGUCAUAUAUCAGCAAGUA